AUGAACGCUGGCGGCGUGCCUAAUACCUGCAAGUCGAGCGAACAGAUGAGGAGCUUGCUCCUCUGACGUUAGCGGCGGACGGGUGAGUAACACGUGGAUAACCUACCUAUAAGACUGGGAUAACUUCGGGAAACCGGAGCUAAUACCGGAUAAUAUAUUUAACCGCAUGGUUCAAUAGUGAAAGACGGUUUUGCUGUCACUUAUAGAUGGAUCCGCGCCGCAUUAGCUAGUUGGUAAGGUAACGGCUUACCAAGGCAACGAUGCGUAGCCGACCUGAGAGGGUGAUCGGCCACACUGGAACUGAGACACGGUCCAGACUCCUACGGGAGGCAGCAGUAGGGAAUCUUCCGCAAUGGGCGAAAGCCUGACGGAGCAACGCCGCGUGAGUGAUGAAGGUCUUCGGAUCGUAAAACUCUGUUAUUAGGGAAGAACAAAUGUGUAAGUAACUAUGCACGUCUUGACGGUACCUAAUCAGAAAGCCACGGCUAACUACGUG
rnacentral:rRNA from 1 species